AGCUUACACCACACCCUAGUGGUUAGAGCGUCUGCCUUGGAAGCGGGAGGUCGUGGGUUCGAACCCCGGC